CUAGUAACACACACUGGUAGUUCAGUCAGUGUGUGUUAUAAUUUAAGAAACAACAAGUACUGCUCUUCCACAAUUGUUUCAUCUUCACUGACACUUCUGACAAGUAAAUCAAACAUUUAUAAAGGUUCACAAUGCAUCAACCAUCCAGCACUACCAUCAACACCAUCAUUGUAGCAACACUGUUGGUACCAUGGUCUUACUAGCAUCACUGUGGCAUCUGGUGAUGCUCUGCAAGAUUCCAAGUCCGUGAAGGAAAAUGGUAGUUUGUCAAGCCACCAGGAAUCCCUAAGUCAAGACACCAUCUACUGCCGGCACAUGGCAUCAAUGAUAGCAUGUGACUACAAGUGGCAAAAACAGGAGGUAUCACUGGCUGGUGAUUCUGCGGGAGACGAGGUAACCCAGGUCAUCCUCCAACACAUCCGUCAUCUCAUCCUCAAAACCUCGAAGUGUUAUGACCUGAGUCUUACCCACGUAGCUGAUGCUAGAGUAGAUUGUCAACUAGACCACUGCUUGCUCCAGGAAGGUCUAUU